GGUGAACGCUGGCGGCGUGCUUAAGACAUGCAAGUCGAACGGCAGUCUUCGGACUGUAGUGGCGCACGGGUGAGUAACGCGUAACUGACCUACCCCAAAGUCGCGGAUAACGAUUCGAAAGAAUCGCUAAUACGUGAUGUGCUGUCAGAUUGUGUUCUGCCAGUAAAGAUUGAUUGCUUUGGGAUGGGGUUGCGUUCCAUCAGCUAGUUGGUGGGGUAAAGGCCCACCAAGGCGACGACGGAUAGCCGGCCUGAGAGGGUGGCCGGCGACAGGGGCACUGAGACACGUGACCCACUCCUACGGGAGGCAGCAGUUAGGAAUCUUCCACUAUGGUCGAAAGCCUGAUGGGGCGACGCCGCGUGAGGGAUGAAGGUCUUCGGAUCGUAAACCUCUGAAUCAGGGACGAAAGUCACUUCGGUGGGAUGACGGUACCUGAGUAAUAGCACCGGCUAACUCCGUGCCAGCCGCCGCGGUAAUAC
rnacentral:rRNA from 1 species